UACGAAGGGGGCUAGCGUUGCUCGGAAUUACUGGGCGUAAAGCACACGUAGGCGGUCUUUUAAGUCGGGGGUGAAAUCCUGGAGCUCAACUCCAGAACUGCCUUCGAUACUGGAAGACUUGAGUCCGGGAGAGGUGAGUGGAACUGCGAGUGUAGAGGUGAAAUUCGUAGAUAUUAGGAAGAACACCAGUGGCGAAGGCGGCUCACUGGAUCGGUACUGACGCUGAGGUGCGAAAGCGUGGGGAGCAAACGGG
rnacentral:rRNA from 1 species